GGACCCGCACAAGCAGUGGAGUAUGUGGUUUAAUUCGAAGCAACGCGAAGAACCUUACCAGGUCUUGACAUCCCUCUGACCGGUGCAGAGAUGUGCCUUUCCUUCGGGACAGAGGAGACAGGUGGUGCAUGGUUGUCGUCAGCUCGUGUCGUGAGAUGUUGGGUUAAGUCCCGCAACGAGCGCAACCCUUAGCUUUAGUUGCCAGCAUGAGAGAUGGGCACUCUAGAGCGACUGCCGGUGACAAACCGGAGGAAGGUGGGGAUGACGUCAAAUCAUCAUGCCCCUUAUGACCUGGGCUACACACGUACUACAAUGGCCGGUACAGAGGGAAGCGAAGGAGCGAUCUGGAGCGAAUCCCAAAAAAGCGGUCUCAGUUCGGAUUGCAGGCUGCAACUCGCCUGCAUGAAGUCGGAAUUGCUAGUAAUCGCGGAUCAGCAUGCCGCGGUGAAUACGUUCCCGGGUCUU
rnacentral:rRNA from 1 species